rnacentral:tRNA from 1 species
GCGUCUGUGGUGUAAUUGGUAGCCACGCCAGACUUAGGAUCUGGUGCCUAACAGCGUGCAGGUUCGAGUCCUGUCAGACGCA